ensembl:snRNA U1 U1 spliceosomal RNA
AUACUUAACUGGCAGGAAGAUACUGUGAUCAAGAAGGUGAUUUUUCUCGGGGGGGGGACUCAUCCACUGCACUUCGGAUAUACUGACCCCACAAUUUCCCCAAAUGUGAGAAACUUGACUACACAAUUUGUGGUAGUUGGGGGCUCCAUUCAUGCUCUCACUUU